rnacentral:rRNA from 1 species
UACGUAGGGUGCAAGCGUUGUCCGGAAUUAUUGGGCGUAAAGAGCUCGUAGGCGGUCUGUCGCGUCUGCUGUGAAAACUCGGGGCUUAACCCCGGGCCUGCAGUGGGUACGGGCAGACUAGAGUGCGGUAGGGGAGACUGGAAUUCCUGGUGUAGCGGUGAAAUGCGCAGAUAUCAGGAGGAACACCGGUGGCGAAGGCGCCACUCUGGGCCGAAACUGACGCUGAGGAGCGAAAGCGUGGGUAGCAAACAGG